UCACAUUCAUAUGCUCUACUGUGUAAAUGGAGAGUAGUAUUGGCUUUCCAUUUUACAAAACCCUGUAUUGAGAAAUAAGUUUGUCAGCCCAAGUAAAGAGGAAAAGAUCAAUGGAUUGCAAUAAACAGCAUUUAACAUAAAAAUGAGUGAAAUUUACAAUUCGGUUAACUUGUGAAAUGUUAAAAAAAAUCAGCAAACAAUGGACACAAUUUGUUUUGUUCAGAGCCCAGAGGUAGAGACCAAAUCCUCUAAAUUAAUUUCUGCAAAAGCUGGGGUUUUUUUCCAAACAGGUCUGGAUCCUAUUCGUUGUAGAAUAUACUGAUUACCAACUAUUUUUAAGAGCUUUACACAAACAUUAUUUCUUUUGUUGUGUGAAAUGCAGAAUCAGCCAUCUGGCAAAUGCCCCAGAGCUAAAAUCUUUUACACGACAUAUAAUUCAAAAUGAUUAAAUAUACAACAGAAAAUAGCUAUAGCAUUGCACUUAAAAUAGCAUGAACUUUUACUGCCGAUCAAAACUGAUUUCUUUAGCUUAACAAGUAUCCAAAGAACAAUUAUUUGAAGAGCUUUUAAGAGUUUCAAUAUGUAGGAACUAAGCCUCAUCUAAAUUCAGUAUCUUAAGUCAAAUAAAAAAGAAACAAAUGUACAAAAGAUUAAAUGGUCCUGCGUUAUAAGUAGACAUUUAAAUCUAUGGGAAGCUAAAUUCAUUUGAACAAAAAUACUAUAUUCCCUCUGUAUGUGUAUUGCUGGGGCUUUCCUCUCCAUUGCUAAGGGUAUCUGCCAAAACAACUCUCACAUUCUUAGGCAAUGACUAGGGACUAGCCUGGAAUCAGACUGUUCAUCCACUCCCUCCAUCAUCAGAAUGGGCAAUUUCAAAGAAGAACAGGGAAUAAAGCUCCGUGCAUGAUCCCUGAGUGCAGUCAAUCUUUUUUUCCUGCACCACAGUCGACUUUAAGUUAAACUUGCUGUCUUUUUUCCAGAAAUACUCCAGGCCUGAAAAAUUGCCAGCUCCUCAUCCCACACCCAAUUCUGCAGUAGUUUAUGAGAAAGAGCAAGCAAACAUCUGCAUGUGUUUGGGGUACAUAAGGGUAGGUACAGAAAUAUUACCCUGCGUAAUUAUUGAGUGGUUAUGGCUCUGUUUCUCAGCUACAUUUUUCAGACAAGUCAAAGUCUACAUCUCCCCAAAGCAAUUGGUGCAAGUCAGAUCUGAGUUGUGAGACAAAAAUAAGGGCUAAAUGUAGGUUUUUCUCAUGGAUUUGCAUACUUGGAUAAACCUGAAAUGGAUGAAUACAUCGCCGCCAACUCUCAAGAACAUUUUGCUUCUAAAUUCUUUCAGACCAAGCAUGAGAACCUUCAUCCCAAGGUAACAAUGUGAGGCAAUUGUAAGUCUGUGAUUGCUCAGGCUUCGAAUUGAAAUGGCUUUGCAACCUUGCCUGUGGAGUUGGGUCAGCCUCAACCAAGGAACCUCAGACGUUCUAAUCCCAGACUUUUCUAAACUGUAAUAAAAUAAUGUUCUUGAAUCUUGACCUUUUCAGCUCAUAAUGAUUCCCGAAGCAGCAGGAUUUUUCCUGCUGCUUUUUACAAGACUUUCAGGCUUGAAGAAAUCCUAAACUGAUUGCUGGCUCGUUUGGGAUUGCAGCAACACCAAAACCUCUCCUCUGUGUAAAAUACUUGUCCUGGUUCUCUGGGCCUAAUCCUGCUCUUAGUAACAUGCAUGUUAAUUCAGUUACCUGACUGAGCUUUUAGGGUAACAGCAGGCUUUGUGUCUUCCUGAUCUUGAUGUUAUAUGAAGAGAUGCAUAUAUUUCAGGAGGAAAUACUGACUGAAGUAUAGAAAGAUUCCCUAUGCACCGUACACACAUUAAUUAAACCUGAAGAUGGAAUAUGAAAAUAGUAGCCCAAAUAUUCUCCUAUUAGAAAGAGCAAAAGCAUAUUUUAUAUUAUUUAACUCAUUCUUUCGAAUGAGUUAACCACAGGAGAAAUAAGGCAAUUUUCAUCAGAAGCAUCUUUGCUUUUCAUCAAAGGAGAGAUGACCCAGGCAAUCUCCUAUAACCUUUUCCAUCUCAGUAUGACAAAAUUUCUCUUUCUGAUGGUAUUUUCUCUUUGAAAGCUAUGGGCUUCUCUGAUGUUUGGAAGUCCUAAAACCUGAAUGUCACAGAUUUUCUUGUACCUCCCUGCUUUGCAUUAAACAUAACCUCAUAUAUUUUCUACUUUCAGUGGAAAAUUGGGACAUCUUCCCAUCUUUCUAUUGACCAAACUCUGUUACAAAGGUGCCAGGAGUCCUAUUUCUGGAAAAGAAAUAAAGAAGUAAUAUUCCUAGUGAAACAGGAGUCUAGGCCCAGUAUCUGUUCAAAAUAAACAAGGUAUCUCCUUACAAAUGAGCAUUCACAUUCUUAUUUAUGUGUCCAAUUUUGCGUACUCCGCAAUACUGGAAGGAAAGAAAAGAUGGAAGAACACAUGGAGAAUGGAGAGAAAUUUGAGCAUCCCUGAGGAAACAGAGGUUUAGGGACGGGGCAAUAACUGCAAGAUUGUGAUGAGAUUUUGGAAAACUUUGCUAGAUAAAAACGUAGAACAAAACUGUUGCUGUCAUUUCGUUCCCUGGGCCUGAUUAUGUUUUCAUGAUAGGCCUUUGCACUGCUUUAACUGCAAGAGCUCUUUCAGUAAAUGAGUAUCAGACCUCCAUGCUAGUGAAACGCAAGGCUUGCCAAAUUUGUCGGGAGCCUCUGUGGCACUCUCCAUCCACUCAUCUUGACAAAGAAGUGGUGGAAGCAAACUCAGUAGUUUCAAAUGGCGUCUGUUUUCUUCUCUUCUGGAAUGGUACCUGGAUGCUGCCAGUUUGGAGGCAAGUCAGUGCCAAGGCUCUACGUGGAGCUCUUCCUCGCCCUCCUUCACAAACAGCCAAGAAACAAUCAGAAACCGCUUCAUAAUAGGGCCAGGGUGAAAGGUGAGAACUGGAGUAGUCUGAAAGCCUGCUGCCAGACCUGAGGAAGAUAGUGUCAUUUUGGUAAACCUGUCAAGCUGUUGUAAGAACUUCCUGAAUGCUUCCUACCAUCUGCUUUUGAUGCUUUCAAGACUUGGCUGGAAGCCUGGAGGUUUUCCUGCUCCUUCCUGCCCAACCUAUAAUGGAUGGCCUUGUGCCCUGAAUCAUCUCUCCUGGGGCGGUCAGAGUUCCUCUGAUGUUGAACAAGUGCCGGGUGUUUCAAUUGUGUUCAUGCUCUUGAGAGGAAGGGUCUGGCCUCCACGACACAUUCCUUCUUCACACUCACAUCAACACAAAGUUUAACUUUGUGUACAGGGCUCUCAAUGGAACGGCCACACAAAGCACAUCUCCAACGACUCCGUCAGACUGCACGCUGCGCCGCUGGGCUCAGUGAAUAUUGAUGGAUAUAAAUUGUAGGGUCUGAGAUAAAUGUCGUGAAGGACAAUGAGUUCAAAGAACAGAUUAAAAAACAAUAAAUUGAAUUCCAAGGCGUUCCCUCCUGUACUAAUCUGUGUAGGUUCCUGUGUUUUUGGAAAGCAUGUUGCUUAUCUUCCUCAUCAGUAGGCCCACAGCAUUCCGGUAUUUUGGAUCAAUGCCAUUUGUAAUAAUCUAGAUCAGUUUUUAUUCAACGUUUAUAAAACAGGCCAUGUAUCACAGGGUAUAUUUUAUAGCAGAUGGUAUCUUCAAUUCAUUUAACCCCCCCCCUUCACUUCCCUCCUCCAAUAUCACAGUGCAUACUUAUAAGAGCUCUUCAAAGUAGAGCUGAGCAGAAUUCUCUUCAACAAAUAGUAAAUUUGCUGAAAAAUGGCAUUUCCAAGCAACAAAACUGUUAAACUGUGGCACAGUGAAAAAUGAGAUGUUUUGACUUCUAGAAAAAAUGGGUCUUGCAAUUUAAACAUUUUUGGGGAAAAGAAGUGGGGUGAGGAGUUGUUUUCAGAAAUAAUUUCUAUUAAAAAAGAAGGUGAUGAACUCCAGGGUUAAAUAGCCAGAACACAAAUGUUUGUUUCAGGUCAAGUUACAUUUUCUGAGUUAUCCCAGUGUCAACUGUUUUGGGGUCUUCUGUGUGGUUUUAAUUCGAAGAGAUUCUCUUUUGGCUUGAUGAGGACUAAUUUUUCCCAAGGAUUAUUAAUUUGGGGACUCUGUCCAUGAGACCCAGUAUUCGCCAGACUUUACUCAAAACACAGCUCUUCAAGGAAGUUUCCUUGGGAAAGCCCUUUGGGGCUAUUUCACCAUAGCCCUAAGGCUCAUUUCAAUAAAAUGGGCUAUUCUAACAUGCAGAGAUAACCACAUGCUUAAGCACUUUGCUGGUUCACAACAGUUUAUUAGCUUUCAGGAUCAAUGAUGUACACCUUACAACCACUCCCUUACUUGAGAUCGUAAUGGAAGAGGUUGAAAAUCUUCUGAGAUUCACAUACCAAACAGUCAUAAAAUAUAUUUAUUCAUAUCUGCUUGGGAAUACCUCAUUGUAAUUUUGCAGACCAUGAUUUAUACAACUCUGGGGAUGCACAUGUAGCUGACAAAAGUAAAUAGGUAAAAAUAUUUUAGUUCAGUGAUAACAGAACCAAAUCAUGGACUUUUUUAUGUUGUAGCUUAGCUUUACUCAUGCAUCCUAGAAGCCAUGGCAAGUAAACUCAUCUUAGUUUACCUUGCAAAAGACGUUAAUCAUACCUGCGUUUCUCAGAAACCUGAAUUUGUAGUCGACAACAACUCUGGUUUCAGGAUUAUAGAAUCCAUCACCACAGUCGUAACAGCCUUUGGGGAUUUCUGGGGGAGGAUCCAGAUUUGUAAGCUGAGAAAUAUCUGGAAAAAGUAAAAAGAAGAAGAAAGGGUUUGCUUUAUUCUGCUUUUAUUUUUCCCCUUCCUUUUUCAUUUGUGCCUUUUGGUCAAGAUAACCAACACUGAUCUCUGCGCCAUUUGCUGCAACAAUUAUGCAGUCACCUUACAAUAACCUUUAGAAAACAUUUUGCCAAUUUUGCAUAGGGAGAAAAUAAAGAUGGAAAACUGCAUGCAGCAAAAGUGCGUGAUAAAAUGGUAUCACUAAGCUAACAGCAACAGAUAUGACCCCAAACUCCAAACCGGGGCCAGGAGAGUUGUGCUGGCCGCAGAGAACUACAUGUAAUCACUAAAAUAUUCUAUGUAUAAGGAAGAGUAUUUUAUGCAUUACGUUACAAAUUUUACUCACUUGGUCCUUAUAAAUCUCUUCACCUUCUGACUACAGAAAGAUAGUAAUAUUCUGAGUGUCUUUGGCAAAAAAUAGACUGUACAGAAAUGCUGAUUUUGGUAUCUACUAUACAGCUACGUGGGACAGAUGCAUUCAAGCUUUAUUUGAUGUCCUGGAUGUGAACUAGGUGCUUUUGUUCAACUUGUCUGUAUUGAAAACCCACUGCUAAUACAGUGAAGGUGAAAUGUAUAAAGGGGUUAAUAGAUGUAGAUAACAAAGCCCUGUCCUGUGGGUCAUUGCUGCAGAGGAGACCACGCUGCGGGCGCAGUGCUGCAUCCUGCACCGCAUGGAAGGUUCUGGCAGCGUCAUACAGUCGGGUCCUGAAAUUAGCCAGAGCGUUUCUGCUCCAUGUUACUCAUGUAGCCGAAUUAAUCUUUCUUAAGCAAAGUUGUUAGUUUAAUUCCUUCCAGACUCUUAGGAUCGCAAACGCAACUCAGUACCUGGUUCUAUGAGACCAGAGCAGAUUUCUGUGUAAAAUCUUCUGUCGUAGCCAUCACAGUAAUGCCAUUUUUUAUCUCUGUAUUCGAGACCAUCUGCAAAAGUGUAUUUCCCCUGCAAAACACGUUCAAGCACUGAGUUAAUAAACAUGAUGGAUGGAUGGAGCACAAACAC